rnacentral:pre_miRNA from 1 species
UAAUCCUUGCUACCCGAGUGAGAGUGCUGUCUCAAUGCAAUGCAUCUGGGCAAGAGAAGGGUUCUG